GUGAUCACUUCAGCAGCACAUGUUCUAAAAAGUUGGAACAAUAGAGAGAGGAUUAGCAUGGUCCCUGCAAAAGGAUGACAUGAAAGUCAAUACAUAAAAAUUGCUU